UACGUAGGGGGCGAGCGUUAUCCGGAAUUAUUGGGCGUAAAGGGCGCGUAGGCGGCUGUACAAGUCAGAGGUGAAAUCCCUCGGCUCAACUGAGGAACUGCCUUUGAAACUGUACGGCUUGAGGCCGGGAGGGGGUAGCGGAAUUCCCAGUGUAGCGGUGAAAUUCGUAGAUAUUGGGAAGAACACCGGUGGCGAAGGCGGCGACCUGGUCCUUGACUGACGCUGAGGCGCGAAAGCGUGGGGAGCAAACAGG
rnacentral:rRNA from 1 species